ACAAGCGUGGAUGAUGUGGAUUAAUUCGAUGCAACGCGAAGAACCUUACUACCCUUGACAUGUCCGGAACUUGCCAGAGAUGGCUUGGUGCCCGAAAGGGAAUCGGAACACAGGUGCUGCAUGGCUGUCGUCAGCUCGUGUCGUGAGAUGUUGGGUUAAGUCCCGCAACGAGCGCAACCCUUAUCAUUAGUUGCUACGCAAGGGCACUCUAAUGAGACUGCCGGUGACAAACCGGAGGAAGGUGGGAUGACGUCAAGUCCUCAUGGCCCUUAUGGGUAGGGCUUCACACGUCAUACAAUGGUCGGUACAGAGGGUUGCCAAGCCGCGAGGCGGAGCCAAUCCCACAAAGCCGAUCGCAGUCCGGAUUGUUCUCUGCAACUCGAGAGCAUGAAGUCGGAAUCGCUAGUAAUCGCAGGUCAGCAUACUGCGGUGAAUACGUUCCCGGGUCUU
rnacentral:rRNA from 1 species